CUUCAGUUAUAGAAUGUUUACUGUGUAUGACACAAUAUAUACAACUUUCAGCAACGGAUCUCUUGGCUCUCGCAUCGAUGAAGAACGCAGCGAAAUGCGAUAAGUAAUGUGAAUGNCAGAAUUCAGUGAAUCAUCGAAUCUUUGAACGCACCUUGCGCUCCUUGGUAUUCCGAGGAGCAUGCCUGUUUGAGUGUCAUGGAAUUCUCAACCUUCAACUUUGUUGUUGAAGGCUUGGACAUGGAGGUUGUGUCGGCUCUAGUCACUCGACUCCUCUCAAAUGCAUUAGUGUGAAUCUUACGGAUCAUCUUCAGUGUGAUAAUUAUCUGCGCUGUGGUGUUGAAGUAUUUGUCGAUCAUGCAUACAACAGUCCUUUGCUGGACAGCUAUUGACAAUCUGACCUCAAAUCAGGUAGGACUACCCGCUGAACUUAAGCAUAUCAAUAAGCGGAGGAAAAGAAACUAACAAGGAUUCCCCUAGUAACUGCGAGUGAAGCGGGAAAAGCUCAAAUUUAAAAUCUGGCGGCUUUGGUCGUCCGAGUUGUAUUCUAGAGAAGCGUCUUCCGCGC
rnacentral:rRNA from 1 species